UACGUAGGGGGCAAGCGUUGUCCGGAAUCAUUGGGCGUAAAGCGCGUGUAGGCGGCCCAGUAAGUCCGCUCUGAAAGCCCGGGGCUCAACCCCGGGAGGCGGGUGGAUACUGCUGGGCUAGAGUACGGAAGAGGCGAGUGGAAUUCCCGGUGUAGCGGUGAAAUGCGCAGAUAUCAGGAAGAACACCCGUGGCGAAGGCGGCUCUCUGGGACGGUACUGACGCUGAGACGCGAAAGCGUGGGGAGCGAACAGG
rnacentral:rRNA from 1 species